rnacentral:rRNA from 1 species
AUUGAACGCUGGCGGCAUGCCUUACACAUGCAAGUCGAACGGCAGCACGGGUGCUUGCACCUGGUGGCGAGUGGCGAACGGGUGAGUAAUACAUCGGAACGUGCCCAGUCGUGGGGGAUAACACAGCGAAAGCUGUGCUAAUACCGCAUACGUCCUGAGGGAGAAAGCGGGGGGACCGUAAGGCCUCGCGCGAUUGGAGCGGCCGAUGUCUGAUUAGCUAGUUGGUGAGGUAAAGGCUCACCAAGGCGACGAUCAGUAGCUGGUCUGAGAGGAUGAUCAGCCACACUGGAACUGAGACACGGUCCAGACUCCUACGGAGGCAGCAGUGGGGAAUUUUGGACAAUGGGCGAAAGCCUGAUCCAGCCAUUCCGCGUGAGUGAAGAAGG